GUGAUGAAGGCCUUGCGGGUUGUAAAGUACUUUUGGCAGAGAAGAAAGGUACCUGCUAAUACGGGAGGCUGCUGACGGUAUCUGCUUAACAAGGCCCAGCAAAGUUCAUGCCCUGCUCCGCGGUGAUACCUAAGGGGCAGGCGUUGAUCGGAAUUACUGGGGGUAAAACGUGUGUAGGCGGUUCGGAAAGAAUGAUGUGAAAUCCCAGGGCUCAACCUUGGAACUGCAUUUUUAACUGCCGAGCUUGAGUAUGUCAGAGGGGGGUAGAAUUCCACGUGUAGCAGUGAAAUGCGUAGAAUUUGGAGGAAUACCGAUGGCGAAAGCCGCCCCCUGGGAUGAUACUGACGCUUAGACGCGAAAGCGUGGGGAGCAAACAGGAUUAGAUACCCUGGUAGUCCACGCCCUAAACCAUUUCUGCUAGCUGUUGGGGGCGUUAGGCCUUAUUAUCGCAGCUUACGCGUGAAGUUGACCGCCUGGGGAGUACGGUCGCACGAUGAUUACUCUCAGGAGUUGACGGGGACCCGCACAAGCGGUGGAGGAUGUGGAUUAUUUCUAUGCACGCGGAAAAACUCACCUACCCUUGACAUGUCUCGAUAGCCAAAGAGAUAUGGGCGUGCUCGCUUGAGAGACCGAUCACACGUGCUGCAUGGUUUUUUCGACAA
rnacentral:rRNA from 1 species